AAUAACCAAAAAAAUAACAUUUGGGCUAGAUAAUUUUUCCUACAUCAACCCCCGAGCCCAGGUAUCAUAUACAGCUUUGAAUGCUAGAAGAAAAGCACCUAUACCUGUAAAGAAGUUAUUUACAUAGUUAGAAACCCGGGGUUGAUUAGCUA
rfam:Populus trichocarpa isolate Nisqually-1 chromosome 9, whole genome shotgun sequence.